GCACGCCCAGGGCCCGCCUCGCUCUCGUGCCAAGGCGGAAGGGUGAGAAGGGCCGGGGAAAAGCCGACCAGGGAGCCUCAAGGGGUGUGUCCCUUCGGCUCCGCCCCGCACUUUCCAUUGGUCUACUAGCGGCAAGGGGGCGGGUUGCUGAGCUCUAGGCCUGUCGGGGCAGGGCAACGUACGUCGGCUCCUCCCUCAAGACCACACCCGCUUAGGCCCCGGCACGGCAAGAUGAGACCGCCCAUCCAGUCUCUUCACCUGAGAAGGACCAGUGAAGGAGAGGGACCUGCCUAGACCAUCCAGACCAGGGGUGGCCAACCUGGGGCUCCGAAGCCACAUGUGGCUCUUCAGAAGUUAAUAUGCGGCUCCUUGUCUAGGCACCAACUCCGGGGCUGGAGCUACAGGCUCAGGUUGGCCACCCUGAUCCAGACGAUGUCCCUGACUGGGGAGCUGAACCAGUGUCCAGAGCAACAGCUAUCAUGGCCAGCCUCCUGGCCCAAGCAUCAGUCCAUGACUGACCAGCUGCCCCGGAUCCUGAGAAGAUCAACAAAAGCCAUAUUACCCCAUCGUUUACUGUCGGAUCGCCUCUCUCCCUUUUAUAUGUACUGAGUCAUUCCCCACUCAGAAUCAAACGACUAAACAAACCCUUUCUUCCCCAUCAAAAAGGCCUGCUUAACAGAAUAAGGGGCUUAAACAAAUAUUCCCUGUCUCAAAAAGAAAUUUGGAUAAGGUUUGUGUGUUUGGCAUAAUUGCUCAAUUUCAGUUUUAAUGCUUUUUGCCUUGUGUUGAGUCUUUUCCCUUUGUGUGUCUCAGUCAAUACAUUUCUAAGCUUUGGCAUUUAUUUCCUAGUGUGUUUGUCCUUGCACCAAGAAGGCUGAGAUCUCUGUAGCUGGAGCCCUUGUUUAACCCUGUUACUGUUGGACAGUGAGUUGGCUAUGUUAACACCUUUGAUUUUUAGGGGCCAUAUAGUCCAUCAAAAUCGAUAUAACACCUCCCAAGUAAAAACAUUUGCUUAUCCACAUUUUAUGGAUUUCCUUAUCUGUGUAGUAUAUUACAGGAAGCAAGUAAUUCAGUACCUACACACAUUAACUGGAUUAUCACCUUAUCUGAAUUAGUUAGUACUUGCCGAAAACUCUUGGGAACAAAAGCACAUAGCGGAACUGCACUGCAAGCAGCGAG